rnacentral:rRNA from 1 species
UUCGUACGAAGGUGUCCUAGUGGCGAACGGGUGAGUAACACGUAGGUGACCUGCCCCGAAGAGAGGGAUAACCCCGGGAAACUGGGGCUAAUACCUCAUGAGCUCCUUGGAGUUAGAGGUCCUUGGAGGAAAGGGAGUAAUCCGCUUCGGGAGGGGCCUGCGGCCCAUCAGCUAGUUGGUAGGGUAAUGGCCUACCAAGGCGACGACGGGUAGGGGGCCUGAGAGGGUGGUCCCCCACAAUGGCACUGAAACACGGGCCAUACACCUACGGGUGGCAGCAGUGGGGAAUAUUGCCCAAUGGACGAAAGUCUGAGGCAGCAACGCCGCGUGCGCGAUGAAGGCCUUCGGGUUGUAAAGCGCUUUUCUGGGGGAAGAGGAAGGACGGUACCCCAGGAAUAAGUCUCGGCUAACUACGUGCCAGCAGCCGCGGUAAAACGUAGGAGGCAAGCGUUAUCCGGAUUUACUGGGCGUAAAGCGUGUGCAGGCGGUUUGGCAAGUCGGACGUGAAAGUUCCCGGCUCAACUGGGAGAGGCCGUUCGAUACUUCCAGACUUGAGGGCAGUAGAGGGAGGUGGAAUUCAGGGUGUAGCGGUGAAAUGCGUAGAUAUCCUGAGGAACACCAGUGGCGAAGGCGGCCUCCUGGGCUGUCCCUGACGCUAAGACACGAAAGCUAGGGGAGCAAACGGGAUUAGAAACCCCGGUAGUCCUAGCUGUAAACGAUGCAGACUUGGUGUUGG